rnacentral:rRNA from 1 species
AACAGGAUUAGAUACCCUGGUAGUCCACGCCGUAAACGAUGUCGACUUGGAGGUUGUGCCCUUGAGGCGUGGCUUCCGGAGCUAACGCGUUAAGUCGACCGCCUGGGGAGUACGGCCGCAAGGUUAAAACUCAAAUGAAUUGACGGGGGCCCGCACAAGCGGUGGAGCAUGUGGUUUAAUUCGAUGCAACGCGAAGAACCUUACCUACUCUUGACAUCCAGAGAACUUAGCAGAGAUGCUUCGGUGCCUUCGGGAACUCUGAGACAGGUGCUGCAUGGCUGUCGUCAGCUCGUGUUGUGAAAUGUUGGGUUAAGUCCCGCAACGAGCGCAACCCUUAUCCUUUGUUGCCAGCACGUAAUGGUGGGAACUCAAAGGAGACUGCCGGUGAUAAACCGGAGGAAGGUGGGGAUGACGUCAAGUCAUUAUGGCCCUUACGAGUAGGGCUACACACGUGCUACAAUGGCAUAUACAAAGAGAAGCGAACUCGCGAGAGCAAGCGGACCUCAUAAAGUAUGUCGUAGUCCGGAUUGGAGUCUGCAACUCGACUCCAUGAAGUCGGAAUCGCUAGUAAUCGUAGAUCAGAAUGCUACGGUGAAUACGUUCCCGGGCCUUGUACACACCGCCCGUCACACCAUGGGAGUGGGUUGCAAAAGAAGUAGGUAGCUUAACCUUCGGGAGGGCGCUUACCACUUUGUGAUUCAUGACUGGGGUGAAGUCGUAACAAGGUAACC